GAUUGAACGCUGGCGGCAAGCCUAACACAUGCAAGUCGAACGGUAACAGGAAGAAGCUUGCUUCUUUGCUGACGAGUGGCGGACGGGUGAGUAAUGUCUGGGAAACUGCCUGAUGGAGGGGGAUAACUACUGGAAACGGUAGCUAAUACCGCAUAACGUCGCAAGACCAAAGAGGGGGACCUUCGGGCCUCUUGCCAUCGGAUGUGCCCAGAUGGGAUUAGCUAGUAGGUGGGGUAACGGCUCACCUAGGCGACGAUCCCUAGCUGGUCUGAGAGGAUGACCAGCCACACUGGAACUGAGACACGGUCCAGACUCCUACGGGAGGCAGCAGUGGGGAAUAUUGCACAAUGGGCGCAAGCCUGAUGCAGCCAUGCCGCGUGUAUGAAGAAGGCCUUCGGGUUGUAAAGUACUUUCAGCGGGGAGGAAGGGAGUAAAGUUAAUACCUUUGCUCAUUGACGUUACCCGCAGAAGAAGCACCGGCUA
rnacentral:rRNA from 1 species